GAGUUUAUAGCUUAAUUGGUAGAGCACCGGGCACAGCCCGGAGGUAUAGGUUCGAAUCCUAUUAAACUCA
rnacentral:tRNA from 1 species